rfam:Lepisosteus oculatus linkage group LG8, whole genome shotgun sequence.
GCCAGCAGCCCUAUCACCCUGCAGCCCACAAUUGGCAGCCCACUGGAGCUCAGCAGGUAUGAGCCUGGCCAGUACCUGGAUGGGAGACCUCCUUGGAAAAACUAAGGUUGCUACUGGAA